rnacentral:rRNA from 1 species
UACGAAGGGGGGCUAGCGUUGCUCGGAAUUACUGGGCGUAAAGCGCACGUAGGCGGCUCGUUAAGUCGGAGGUGAAAUCCUGGAGCUCAACUCCAGAACUGCCUCGAUACUGAUGAGCUCGAGUUCGGGAGAGGUGAGUGGAACUGCGAGUGUAGAGGUGAAAUUCGUAGAUAUUCGCAAGAACACCAGUGGCGAAGGCGGCUCACUGGCCCGAUACUGACGCUGAGGCACGAAAGCGUGGGGAGCAAACAGG